AAGUCGUAACAAGGUCUCCGUAGGUGAACCUGCGGAGGGAUCAUUAACACGUUUAUUUCACUAUAAACGUAUCUAUACCAAACAAAUAGAAACAAGAGUACGAAGGAAUGAAAAUUCCAACUUACUUAGUUCCUCUCCCUCUCUAUACUAUAUAUAGUGUAGUUAGGCUCUUUUAUAUAAAUUAACCCCUUUCCACCUUUAAUCACAAUCCAUGUCUUAUAUGUGAGUUUACGCUCAGCAUUGAUAUACUAAUGUAAAAGCACAACUCUUAGCAACGGAUAUCUUGGUUCUC
rnacentral:misc_RNA from 1 species